AAGUCGUAACAAGGUUUCCGUAGGUGAACCUGCGGAAGGAUCAUUACAAAUCCACGUCUCUCUCUUUCGAGACCCGUUGAAAUGUUGAGGAGAAGAGAUGAGAGAAACACCAUACUACGUGUAAUGUGUGUGUCUCGCUUCUUCUCUCUACCCUUUUACUUUAUUAUAUUCGUUGAUCAGUUUUAUCACAUUAAACUUACACAACUUAUAACAAUGGAUCUCUAGGCUCUU
rnacentral:misc_RNA from 1 species